AGACGUCUACAUUAGAUACCCCUGUAGUCCCAGCCGUAAACUAUGCGCGUUAGGUGUAUCGGUGACCACGAGUCACCGAGGUGCCGAAGGGAAACCGUGAAACGUGCCGCCUGGGAGGUACGGUCGCAAGGCUGAAACUUAAAGGAAUUGGCGGGGGAGCACCACAACAGGUGGAGCCUGCGGUUUAAUUGGACUCAACGCCGGGAAGCUCACCGGAUAGGACAGCAGAAUGAUUGCCGGGCUGAAGACCCUGCAUGACUAGCUG
rnacentral:rRNA from 1 species